AUGAAUCGGUUGGAGGGAUCACAUGGAUGGGAGACACAGAUGGAGCAAGUAAAAGUAUGCAUUAAGAUAGGGGUACAGUGCAUGGAGUCGGACCGAAAGAAGAGGCCUGUUGCACGUCAUAUAAUUGACAGGCUUGAUGACACAGCAAAUACCGUCGAAGCUGGUAUCAAUAGUUCAUCAGUUGACGACCAGGUUGGUUUUCUAAAGGAACAAUAUUGUGAAGAGAAAAUUGCAGAUCUUUCAUCUGAGUACAUGGGAAAGGGUAUCAGGGAAUCCUCUGAAACAGAAGAACUCGCGGAACAUGUUGGGACACUAAGAGAAGAACAUUGGCAGCAAGAACAAGAAGAUGCUCCAGUUGAUCUAUGGUCAUCAUGCUGGGAACAGCAAUAUACGGAGCAACAAGGUGCAAGCAUUUCUAGCUCUAACUCUGGUGUGUUUCAUAAGUUGAAGAAUCUGGACAUCUUCGGCAGAAAAGCACCCAGGGAUCUUUACUCGAGGAAGGGUGGGCCUAGAUUGGACUUUCCAAAUUUGAGAAAGUUCAAACAGGGUGAGCUUGAGCCAAUUUUGAAGUAUGAGAAUCUUAUUAUAAAAGAUGUCUUUGGAGAAGUUUACAGAGGCCUUGUCUGCAAUGUACCAAUAACAGUUAGGAAGCUGAUUAGUGAAACUGAAUGUUUAGAUGAAAUCGUAAUCCAGUCUCAAGUCAUUCACAAAAACAUAGUUAGGCUCAGAGGCUGUUGCCUUGAAUUUGACAACCACAUGCUAGUCUAUGACUUCCUCUCCACGGAUAGCCUGCAUGACAUUCUUCACAUCAACGUCGAGGUGCCUCUCAACCUUGGCGUGCGAUUAAGUAUUGCUGCAGCAUCAGCAGGUGCGCUAGCUUAUGCGCAUUCAAAGGCGAGUAUCAAACUUCUCCAUGGUGAUCUUAAACCAGCAAAUAUACUCUUCAAUGGCAACUUUGUGCCAAAGAUCUUUGGCUUUGGCCUGUCAAGGAUGGCUGGCAGCCAAAUCAUUCCUGACAUAUCUUAUAUGGAUCCGGUAUACCUAGAAACAGGCCGGCUAACUAAAAAAAGUGAUGUCUACAGUUUUGGACUUAUCAUCUUGGAGCUUCUUACAAGGAAGAAGGCAACAAAUCCUGACAAUAACAGCUUAGUAAGGAAUUUCCUUGAGAAUCACAAGCAUGGGAGGAAAUCAACCGAAUUUUUUGACAAGGAAAUUGCAGUGACAGGAGAUUUGGCGCUCCUUGACAAUCUGGCAGAUAUUGCUGGGGAGUGUCUUAUCCUUGAUGUGGACCUAAGACCGGGAAUGAAAGAGGUUGAACGGCGCAUUGUGCUGAUUCAAUCCCGUAAGUUGUGA
rnacentral:rRNA from 1 species